UACGGGGGGGGCAAGCGUUGUUCGGAAUUACUGGGCGUAAAGGGCUCGUAGGCGGCCAGCUAAGUCAGACGUGAAAUCCCUCGGCUUAACCGGGGAACUGCAUCUGAUACUGGAUGGCUUGAGUUCGGGAGAGGGAUGUGGAAUUCCAGGUGUAGCGGUGAAAUGCGUAGAUAUCUGGAGGAACACCGGUGGCGAAGGCGGCAUCCUGGACCGACACUGACGCUGAGGAGCGAAAGCCAGGGGAGCAAACGGG
rnacentral:rRNA from 1 species